GGGGGUGUGGGAGAACUGGAAUUGGGAGUCCUAACAGAUGGGACCUGUGGUCCUUCGCAUGUUUGUUAGGACUCCCAAUUCCAGUUCUCCCACACCCCC